rnacentral:rRNA from 1 species
CCUACGGGAGGCAGCAGUAGGGAAUCUUCCGCAAUGGGCGCAAGCCUGACGGAGCAACGCCGCGUGAGUGAUGAAGGUUUUCGGAUCGUAAAGGUCUGUUGCCAGGGAAGAAUGUCGUGGAGAGUAACUGCUCUGCGAAUGACGGUACCUGAGAAGAAAGCCCCGGCUAACUACGUGCCAGCAGCCGCGGUAAU